CGCACGGAGAGAGCAGAGGGUGUCCCAUACUGAUUUGAACCUCAGCUGACUGUGAAAAUGGUUUUGAAAGCUGCCAAAGACAGUUUUAGAGAACUUUAGGAUGCCCGUGAACCACACCUGCUCCCCCUCUCAUCACUGACAGACAAGUCAGACAAGUCAAAGAGCUUUCACCCAGGAAAGGAAGCCAGUGGAGGUGACCACUUCAGCAGAGGACUCAGCAGCAGACGACUCAGUAAGAGCUUUGCCUGUGUGUUUUCAUGCUCCGGUGGACAGACGCAAGGAGAACCAGUGGAAGCAACAGAAAGGAGUGAGAUGAAAAAGGCUCAACAGCCGGAGACGCUGCACAGACGCACUGAGAACCUGCAGGAGCAAGCUCGUCAUCGGUAGAUCCAGGGCACAACGUGUUGAUCAGUGAGCUUUACACCUGCUGAUGUCAGGGAUGAGUAUGUAGAAGAGAGGUGAGUGCACACACACACACGCACGCACACACACACACACACACACACACACAGACACACACACACACACAGAGAGCUGUAUUUGUGUAUGCGUGUGAAAUAUGAGAUGGAGCAGCAGCAGCAGGACAGGAAGUUGGUAUUAUGUAGGUCUGUUGGGGGUUAAAGUCAUUUCCUGUUUACCCUGCCCCUUCCACACGCUGCCCCCCACCCCCCCUCCCCCCGGACUGUAAAUAGUACAAAGAAGGAAAAUAUAGUAGACAUAUAAUAACUAAGAUCACAGCCAUCAGUCAAAGUUUCAGAUUAUGCCGAUCACAUUGCCCAGAACAGAAGACUGGAGUUGAAUAAAGUUACAUUUGAAAUAAUAAAGUAUUGUAAAAAUUAUUAUAAUUGUCAUAAAACACUGAUCUGAAAGAAAGAUCGGGUCCCCUCAGACGGACCAGCGGAACAUCUCAGCUAGGGGAACUAACAUGCCCAGAGACGGCAGCAGCAUGGGGAAUCAACACGCCGUCUAACCUGACCUGUCCGUGCACCGUCUGCUACGUCUGUGAUGUGAUGUUUUCUCCCGUCGACGUCUUGUUCUUCCCUGCGGCCCACGGUGCAGUGCUGCAUCUCUGGUCAGUUGGUAGUCUGAGAUGAAGCACUGUAGCUCGGGAUGGAGGACAGAAAUACCAAUCUGCAGAUCAGCAGCAGAUCUCCAAGGAGCCGGUUUGCCUCAGUCAGGCAGAAUGACGUGGGUGAUGGUGGGGGGGUGGGGACAGGAGGGACGCAUGGACACAAACUGUGGAGACACAGGACCAUUCCACAAAUUCUGCUCCAUCCAUUCAUCAAAAAAAAGAGUUCACUGACCUCUUGCUUUUCUUCUCCUCUCUCCUGGGGUCCAGUUUUCCCAGGAAUCCCUUGACCUAUCAGAAAGGGGGAUUCCUGGAAAUACUGUUCUUGGGGGCGGGGCUUAUCACCACUUCCAUGUACAGUAUGUUCGAGAGCUCGAGAGAAACACAACUAACUUGUUGUUUCAGUUAUGUGAUGCGAUGCGAAGAUGUAAUGUCCUACAUGAUUACUGCUCCUUCUUUAAUAAACCUUCAAGACAAAGACAUGUUUGAAUUUAUUGUCAUUUACUAUAAGGGUAUGCUGCAGUUUGAGAUUAGAGUGCAGGAGAAAAAAAAUGUCCUGCUUUUAAAAUAAAAUAUUCAUCGUUUUAAAUUCACAAGACCCACUUCUCAGAGGUGAGCUCACUUUUUCCGAACUCUUUUCAGACUCAGUCACCAGCAAACCUCUGUGGAUUUACACUGCAGUUCACACAUUUACGUGCUCUAUUGUCUCUAUAACAUGGACCCAGACACAGACAAAGAGAGACUUCAUAGAGUGUCCUCAGCCCCACAGAGGAAUUCUUCUCUUCAUGGAGGUGGAGAGUUUAUGAUCAGGUGUCCCUCUGGGACACAGUGAAACUCAAAGCUGCUUCAAAGACAGUAGUGAUCCGUAUUGUAACGCUGCCUGUGGUUUGUGUGUUUUAGAUCAGUGUGUUUCUCUGGGACUCAGAUGUGGAUCCAGUCUGUUGUUGCAUUGGUGCAUUUUGGGUGUGAGAUGAACUGUGGUGCUGAGCUGCAUGUUGGUAAAGAGACGUGUGUGAAGAGUUUUAAAAGGGGAACUCAGGACAGAAAUUUGAGUCACCAAAAAAAAAAAAAAAAAUCUGUAAGAACCAAAGUCUUAUAUAGCAUCAUAUAGUAAAAUUAUUACAGUAAAAAGAACUUCCUGUAGCUAAAGUGAAGGUAAAGAUAUCUUUGUUUAUUGUGCAAUAUUGGAAAACACUUUACUUCUUUGGGUCUGAAACAGUUACUGCAAUGAAACCACAUGAGAGGUUUAGAGGGUAAAUAUCUCUGGUGGAACUGAUAACUCACAGACAGAAACAUGACGAGGAGAUACAACUACAUUCUGACUUUAGCCAGCAGCUCACAAGUCAAAAUUGUGCGGAACGGCUGAUUUAACAUUUUACAAUAUUUUGUAUUUUAUAAUCUUAUAGUAUGUUUUUAAUGUAAAAUCUUAUUCUGAAGAGUAACUAGUAACUGUAGCAGCUGUUAGAGGAAUCUAGUGCAUUAAACCAUAGAAUAUUUCUCUCUGACAUGAAGUGCAGUAGGAGUAUAAAACAACAUAAAAUGGAAAUACAAGUACAGAAAAAAAGAGAAAAAAAAUUCUUUGUUUUUGGCCUAAGGUCAGCUAAAAUAAAAAAGGUGAUUUUUACAUAUUUAGAGUGAUUUUAAGGUGCCUGUUCUUUCAACAACAACAACAACAACAACAAAAAGAUCGUUGUCGGUGUAUAUAUUUUGAUGUCUAAGAUGUGAGAAGCUUCAUGUGUCAAAGCCACGAUCACGAAGUGGCUCAGUUCUUUCUCUCACACUCCUCUCUCUGCUCUGAGCCUCACAUAUCUGAGCAACGACAGCUGUAAGCAACAUCCUCAGACUGCAGGUCAUGCACAGAAAGAUGGAGACAGUGUGAGUCAGCAGAAACACCGUCUUCCACCACAUACUGUACACUA